rnacentral:rRNA from 1 species
CCUACGGGUGGCAGCAGUGAGGAAUAUUGGUCAAUGGCCGAGAGGCUGAACCAGCCAAGUCGCGUGAGGGAAGACGGCCCUACGGGUUGUAAACCUCUUUUGUCGGGGAGCAAAGAGAGGCACGUGUGACUCAUUGAGAGUACCCGAAGAAAAAGCAUCGGCUAACUCCGUGCCAGCAGCCGCGGUAAUACGGAGGAUGCGAGCGUUAUCCGGAUUUAUUGGGUUAAAAGGGUGCGCAGGCGGAGGUGCAAGUCAGCGGUCAAAGUGCGGGGCUCAACCCCGUACUGCCGUUGAAACUGUAUCCCUUGAGUGCGCGAGAAGUAUGCGGAAUGCGUGGUGUAGCGGUGAAAUGCAUAGAUAUCACGCAGAACUCCGAUUGCGAAGGCAGCUUACCGGCGCGCAACUGACGCUCAUGCACGAAAGCGUGGGUAGCGAACAGGAUUAGAUACCCUUGUAGUC